rnacentral:rRNA from 1 species
CCCUUAGAUGUUCUGGGCUGCAUGCGCGCUACACUGAAGCUAUCAACACGUUUUCCCUCCCUGAGAAGGGCGGGUAACCUUUUGAAUCAGCUUCGUGGUAGGGAUCGGGGCUUGCAAUUGUUCCCCGUGAACCAGGAAUUCCUAGUAGACGCGAGUCAUAAGCUCGCAUCGAUUAAGUCCCCGCCCUUUGUACACACCGCCCGUCGCUACUACCGAUUGAACGUUUUAGUGAGGCAUUUGGACCGACGCAUCUCAGUUUAACCGCUGGUUUGUGUUGGAAAGACUUCCAAACUUGAGCGUUUAGAGGAAGUAAAAGUCGUAACA